rnacentral:rRNA from 1 species
GACGAACGCUGGCGGCGUGCUUAACACAUGCAAGUCGAACGGUGAAGCGCCUUCCUUUUUGGUGGGUGUGGUUGAGAGGCGAACGGGUGAGUAACACGUGAGUAACCUGCCCCCUUCUUCUGGAUAACCGCAUGAAAGUGUGUCUAAGACGGGAUAUUCUGGGUCUGUCGCAUGAUUGGUCUGUGAAAGAUAUUGGUUCGGUGGGGGCGGCGCGCGCGGCCGAUCAGCUUGUGGGUGGGGACAUGGCCUACGAGGGCUGGGACGGUUCGCAGGCUUGGGAGGGUGGCCGGCCAGAGUGGGAGUGAGGCACGGCCGAGACUGAUACGGGGGGCGGCAGUGUGGGAGAUGGCGCAAUGGGGGAAAGUCUGAUACGGCGGCGCGGCGGGAGGGACGGCGGCGUUCGGGUUGUGAACCUCUUUCGCCAGUGAAGCAGGCCUGCCUGGUUUGUGGGGGGAUUGACGGUAGCUGGUUAAGAAGCGCCGGCUAACUACGUG